rnacentral:rRNA from 1 species
CAACAGCUAGAGUUUGAUCCUGGCUCAGGAUGAACGCUGGCGGCGUGCUUAACACAUGCAAGUCGAGCGAAGCACUUUGAUCGGAGGUUUUCGGACGGAAGAACGAAGUGACUUAGCGGCGGACGGGUGAGUAACGCGUGGGUAACCUGCCUCGUACAGGGGGAUAACAGUCAGAAAUGACUGCUAAUACCGCAUAAGACCACAGCACCGCAUGGUGCAGGGGUAAAAACUAAGGUGGUACGAGAUGGACCCGCGUCUGAUUAGCUAGUUGGUGAGGUAACGGCCCACCAAGGCGACGAUCAGUAGCCGACCUGAGAGGGUGACCGGCCACAUUGGGACUGAGACACGGCCCAAACUCCUACGGGAGGCAGCAGUGGGGAAUAUUGCACAAUGGGGGAAACCCUGAUGCAGCGACGCCGCGUGAGCGAAGAAGUAUUUCGGUAUGUAAAGCUCUAUCAGCAGGGAAGAAAAUGACGGUACCUGACUAAGAAGCCCCGGCUAACUACGUGCC